rnacentral:rRNA from 1 species
GAUGAACGCUGGCGGCGUGCCUAAUACAUGCAAGUCGAGCGAACGGACGAGAAGCUUGCUUCUCUGAUGUUAGCGGCGGACGGGUGAGUAACACGUGGAUAACCUACCUAUAAGACUGGGAUAACUUCGGGAAACCGGAUCUAAUACCGGAUGAUAUUUUGAACCGCAUGGUUCAAAAGUGAAAGACGGUCUUGCUGUCACUUAUAGAUGGAUCCGCGCUGCGUUAGCUAGUUGGUAAGGUAACGGCUUACCAAGGCAACGAUGCAUAGCCGACCUGAGAGGGUGAUCGGCCACACUGGAACUGAAACACGGUCAAGGAUCCUAAGGGAGGCCGCAGUCGGGAAUGUUCCGCAAUGGGCGAAAGCCUGACGGAGCAAGGCCGCGUGAGUGAUGGAGGCCUUCUGAUCGUAAAACUCUGUUAUUAGGGAAGAACCUAUGUGUAAGUAACUGUGCACAUAUUGACGGUACCUAGUCAGAAAGCAACGGCUAACUACGUG